GACGAACGCUGGCGGCGUGCCUAAUACAUGCAAGUAGAACGCUGAAGGAGGAGCUUGCUUCUCUGGAUGAGUUGCGAACGGGUGAGUAACGCGUAGGUAACCUGCCUGGUAGCGGGGGAUAACUAUUGGAAACGAUAGCUAAUACCGCAUAAUAGUAGAUGUCGCAUGACAUUUGCUUAAAAGGUGCAAUUGCAUCACUACCAGAUGGACCUGCGUUGUAUUAGCUAGUUGGUGAGGUAACGGCUCACCAAGGCAACGAUACAUAGCCGACCUGAGAGGGGGAUCGGCCACACUGGGACUGAGACACGGCCCAGACUCCUACGGGGGGCAGCAGUAGGGAAUCUUCGGCAAUGGACGGAAGUCUGACCGGGCAACGCCGCGUGAGUGAAGAAGGUUUUCGGAUCGUAAAGCUCUGUUGUAAGAGAAGAACGAGUGUGAGAGUGGAAAGUUCACACUGUGACGGUAGCUUACCAGAAAGGGACGGCUAACUACGUG
rnacentral:rRNA from 1 species